rnacentral:lncRNA from 1 species
CUACCACUGUGGCCUGUCCUGUGGUCUGACUUGGCCUGGCAAGGGCACUCGGGCGCAGGGCCAAGAGUGUGGGGCCUGCCUUCCUUGUAGCCCACUCCAGUCUCCUCCGCUGGCCGGGGAGGGCAGGGGAGCAGCUGCUGGAGCUGCGGCUGAGAGCGGGUGACGGGUACUGUUGUCAGGCAAGGCGGGGGUGCGGCUCCCGCUUGGCAUCCUCCACCAGGGCUGCAGUGAGAGGCGUGGCCAGCAGGUGAGCAGGCAGAGGAGUGUGUGGGUGCACCCAGCCCAGCAGCCUGGCCACGAGGGCCCCCUGGCACCCAGGCGCUGCUCUUCAUCAGAGUCUGCCCUGUGCCAGCUGGCAGGGCCAGCAUAGGGAUGUUUCACUUACGUACACUUCACAAGGGAAGCGGCAGGCUGAGGAGCUGUCUGCUGAGGGCCAAGACCUGGGGACACGCCACAAGUGGGGACAGCAGUUCCUGAGGAUCCCAAUGAGCCCUGGUGGGAGGGGGCCAUGGGGAGGGUCCCAGGGAGCAGGUGCUGGGCACUGUAGCGUGUCUGGGCCAGCUUUGACCCUCAGGAGGGUGGGCUGGGGUCAGCCAAGCCGCUUCUUAGAACCUGGGGAUAUCAAAAAGAGCAGAGCUGGCCUGCUGUGCCCAGCACCAGCCAGGACAGGAGACAGCAGGGGAGGGGCACCGGCAUAUCACCUACUCAGGGCUGCAGGAGCUGGGUGGGGGCAGGCAGCAGGCACCAGGAAAGAAGGGGGAGUGAUAAGGGAUGUGGGCUGAGACUGGUGGGAGUUCUGGGUUCAGGAUAAGCUUGGCCACAGCCUCGAGGAGAGAGGAGGAAGUCCCCACCCCAGCUGGACCCGCAUUUCUGGCCAUGUUCAGACGCCCUGCGGUCCGGUCUCCACUCCAGGUGCUCUGUCCGGGCAGGAGGCUGUGACGCACCCUCUUUGUCAAGGGGCAUUCAGGGAUAAGGCUCCUACCUGCAAGGAGCUCACUCUAGAAGGGGAGCGACUCUGAAGCAGACAGGAUGGGGCCAACCGCGUGGGGUGAGGAGGAGGCAUCCCAACCGGGAGGAUGGGGAGGUCCCUGCAGGGGGUCCGACCCAAUGUGAAUGCUCGUCUGUCAUGAUGGAAAAUUUUGGAAGACACUGGCACAGGGGGCUGGAGUAGGAGUGGUCACCAGGGAACAGCAUUUCCGAAGGCUGGAACAGC